rnacentral:rRNA from 1 species
GACCUCAGAUCAGGCGAGACAACCCGCUGAAUUUAAGCAUAUCACUAAGCGGAGGAAAAGAAACCAACAGGGAUUCCCUGAGUAGCUGCGAGCGAAACGGGACCUAGCCCAGCACCGAAUCCCCCGUCCUUGUCGGCGGUCGGGAAAUGUGGUGUAUGGGAGGCGACGUUCUCGGGUGUUUGCGACGGUGCAAGUCCCCCUGACAGGGGCUUGUCCCAGAGUGGGUGCCAGGCCCGUCUCCGCCGUUGCGCGCCCUGGAUGAAGCCUCUCGUGAGUCGUGUUGCUUGAUAGUGC